AUUUAUAUUUAGAAAAUGUGAGCAGCAAUAUUCUUUUGAAAGCAUGACAGAGAUUUGCUUUCCCUGAUUACCUCGGGUCGGUUAGACACCGAGGUCAUAAAUUCGGCUCCUAUUUUUUCUUCUUAUUUUUUUGUAGUAGUCGAAGAUGGAAGAGCCUGCAGAGGAGACGACAACUUCUGGUAAAUAAGUGUACUUCCAACAAGCAUCGGCCAAAGCGAAACCAUAGUUAAUAGAAUAGAUGGUUUCGAAACUCAUUAGAAUAACAACAUAACUCAUUAUCUAUGUUAGUCAACGUUUAUUCAUAAACAUGGUCGUUCCACAGUCACGUGUGUAUUGUGUUCUUGCCAAAUCCAUCAAUCGCAAUUUUCAAUUUACCCUAUUGUUCGAGUCACGGAUAGGUAACUUUUCCUAUGAUUUCCUAUGACAUUGCCAUUGGUUAGUUGGGCAAGAAUACAAUACGCACGUGACGGCGAACGACCAGAUUUAUGAACAAAGUUGACCAUAACAUAUAUAAUGAGUUAUAUUAUUAUUCUAAUGAGUUCCCAAACCAUCUAUUCUAUUAACUAUGGUGCAAUCAACAAAUAGACUGAUAAUAUUGUCUGUUAGGGUUACUAAAGUAUAUCAUUCACUCGUCCACAAAAUAUCCCAAAUAAUUAAUCCCCAAGCCGACGGCGCGAAGCGCCGUGCGAGGGUACUAAUCCCCCCGGCUAUUUAUACCCGGGGAAACAAAAGCAUUAGCGGAGUCUAAAGUUCACCAAAUAUCGCGGGCGUGGGUGACCAACCGUGGGUGGUCAUCCUCACUGAUCUCAAAUAUAUGGCGGACUGUCAUAAAUAGCGGACACUCAUGAUUGGUCCAAUUUAAAAUUUGCAUUACUGAUAACGCUGCAUGACGACAGUGAAAUUACAAACAUUUCUUGAUUUAUCCACUCCAUUUAUUUCUUGAUUUGAUGAUUGAUGAAUUUGCUUGCAUUUUUGGAAGAUUUUGUAAAUUUCAAAAGUUUUCACAUAAAAAAAGGGCGAAACAAUCGGCUAAAAGAAGGGAGCCGACGUUAACGAAGGUAAGUUUGUUUUAAAUAUUGAUUUAUAAUGGAUUUAAAACGCGACGACCUUUGCGUAUAUGAAACAACUAAACAAGACAGCAUAUAAUUACAGUAUAUCUUUAAUAUUGAUUCCCUGCUUUAUUAUAUUGAAUUUUUUAAAUACAUAAAAAAGAAAGCAAAGUUAUUUGCAAGUGAGAAUUUUAAAUCAUUUUAUUGCAAACUCAAAGUUUAUCGAUAAAGCCAUUUAAUUAUAAAAGGAUGUUUCGUUUUAUAAAGAACACUUUAAAACGUUUUGCGAAAGGUUUGUGGUUGAAUUUUAUCUUAAAUUGAAGCCUAUAUUACGUAUACUAACAUACCUAACAUCUAUAUGGUG